CCUACGGGAGACUGCAGUGAGGAAUAUUGGUCAAUGGACGAGAGUCUGAACCAGCCAAGUAGCGUGCAGGAUGACUGCCCUAUGGGUUGUAAACUUCUUUUAUACAGGAAUAAAACGAGGCACGUGUGCCCUUUUGCAUGUACUUUAUGAAUAAGGAUCGGCUAACUCCGUGCCAGCAGCCGCGGUAAUACGGAGGAUCCGAGCGUUAUCCGGAUUUAUUGGGUUUAAAGGGAGCGUAGAUGGGUUGUUAAGUCAGUUGUGAAAGUUUGCGGGUCAACCGUAAAAUUGCAGUUGAUACUGGCAGUCUUGAGUACAGUUGAGGUAGGCGGAAUUCGUGGUGUAGCGGUGAAAUGCUUAGAUAUCACGAAGAACCCCGAUUGCGAAGGCAGCUUACUAAACUGUGACUGACAUUGAGGCUCGAAAGUGUGGGUAUCAAACAGGAUUAGAUACCCGAGUAGUC
rnacentral:rRNA from 1 species